GACGAACGCUGGCGGCGUGCCUAAUACAUGCAAGUCGAACGCAGUGGGGACGGGUGAGUAAUGUAUUGCUAAUCUCCCUACACUAGAGACAACAGUUGGACACGACUGCUAAACUCAUAAGGAUGAGUCUAUAUUGUAUCAGCUAGUUGGUGGGGUAAUGGCUCACAAAGGCUAUGACGCAUAACUGGUCUGAGAGGAUGAUCAGUCACACUGGAACUGAGACACGGUCCAGACUCCUACGGGAGGCAGCAGUAGGGAAUAUUGCUCAAUGGGGGAAACCCUGAAGCAGCAACGCCGCGUGGAGGAUGACACUUUUCGGAUCGUAAAACUCUGUUGUUAGAGAAGCGGUAACUAACCAGAAAGCCACGGCUAACUACGUGCCAGCAGCCGCGGUAAUUC
rnacentral:rRNA from 1 species